rnacentral:rRNA from 1 species
CAGCAGUAGCCGCGGGAAUACGAAGGGGGCUAGCGUUGCUCGGAAUCACUGGGCGUAAAGGGUGCGUAGGCGGGUUUUUAAGUCAGAGGUGAAAUCCUGGAGCUCAACUCCAGAACUGCCUUUGAUACUGAAAGUCUUGAGUAUGGGAGAGGUGAGUGGAACUGCGAGUGUAGAGGUGAAAUUCGUAGAUAUUCGCAAGAACACCAGUGGCGAAGGCGGCUCACUGGCCCAUAACUGACGCUGAGGCACGAAAGCGUGGGGAGCAAACAGGAUUAGAUACCUGAGUAGUCCCUGUCUCUUAUAA